rnacentral:rRNA from 1 species
UGGCCCAGAUCGUUUACCGUGAAAAAAUUAGAGUGUUCAAAGCAGGCAGAUCCAAUUUUCUGCCACCGAAUACAUUAGCAUGGGAUAAUGGAAUAGGACCCUGUCCUCCUAUUUUCAGUUGGUUUUGGCACGCGAGGACCAGGGUAAUGAUUAAUAGGGAUAGUUGGGGGCAUUAAUAUUUAAUUGUCAGAGGUGAAAUUCUUGGAUUUAUGAAAGAUUAACUUCUGCGAAAGCAUCUGCCAAGGAUGUUUUCAUUAAUCAAGAACGAAAGUUAGGGGAUCGAAGACGAUCAGAUACCGUCGUAGUCUUAACCAUAAACGAUGCCGACCAGCGAUUAGGAGACGUUGAAUACAAAACACCACCAUCGGUGCGGUCGUCCUUGGCGCGUCGUGGCUUGUGGC